GUAGGUGGCAAGCGUUGUCCGGAAUUAUUGGGCGUAAAGCGCGCGCAGGUGGUUCUUUAAGUCUGAUGUGAAAGACCCCCGGGCUCAACCGGGGAGGGUCAUUGGAAACUGGGGAACUUGAGUGCAGGAGAGGAAAGUGGAAUUCCACGUGUAGCGGUGAAAUGCGUAGAUAUGUGGAGGAACACCAGUGGCGAAGGCGACUUUCUGGCCUGUAACUGACACUGAGGCGCGAAAGCGUGGGGAGCAAACAGGAUUAGAUACCCUGGUAGUCCACGCCGUAAACGAUGAGUGCUACGUGUUGGGGGGGUUUCCGCCCCUCAGUGCUGCAGCUAACGCAUUAAGCACUCCGCCUGGGGAGUACGGUCGCAAAGACUG
rnacentral:rRNA from 1 species